GCAUGUUCCCCAGACCUCGCCUUCACCAAUUCACAUUUGUCACUUUACCCAAAGAAAUUCAACAUUGUCAUUUCCAAAAAUAUGUAAUAUAUUUUGGCGGUUUCAUCAUACAAGUACCUCCCGCUGGUGCAGCUGCAGUAAAACAGUUAGUAAUGAAAAAUACCAAGACCCUUUUCAACUUGGUAGAAAAGACUUGAAGAAUCUCUAUGAAGAUAUUAAAAAGGAAUUACUUGUGU
rnacentral:lncRNA from 1 species